rnacentral:rRNA from 1 species
AUACGGAGGAUGCAAGCGUUACUCGGAAUCACUGGGCGUAAAGCGCGCGCAGGCGGCUAUUUAAGUUGGAUGUGAAAGCCUACGGCUCAACCGUAGAACUGCAUCCAAAACUAUUUAGCUAGAGUGUGGGAGAGGAAGAUGGAAUUAGUUGUGUAGGGGUAAAAUCCGUAGAGAUAACUAGGAAGACCGAAAGCGAAGGCGAUCUCCUGGAACAUAACUGACGCUAAGGCGUGAAAGCGUGGGGAGCAAACAGGAUUAGAAACCCCGGUAGUCC